rnacentral:snRNA from 1 species
ACAAAGCGGAUAGUAAAGGGUUA